UUUUUUUCUGAGAUUCACUGGCACUCCCAUCUCUUGAUUUAAAAAUGGGAUCAGAUUUAUGAUUCCAAUAAUUAACUCCUACAUAUUUGUUAGUGACAAAAGUUCUAACGUAAUUUAUGAUAUUUCUAAAUUUCAAAAAACAUUUAUGAAUGAAACAUUAAUCUUUUUCGCCUCGUGUGUUCAUUUACUCAUGUUCGAU
rnacentral:lncRNA from 1 species